AGAUGUUCUGGGCCGCACACGCGCUACACUGAUGUAUUCAACGAGUAUAUAGCCUUGGCCGACAGGCCCGGGUAAUCUUGGGAAAUUUCAUCGUGAUGGGGAUAGAUCAUUGCAAUUGUUGGUCUUCAACGAGGAAUGCCUAGUAAGCGCGAGUCAUCAGCUCGCGUUGACUACGUCCCUGCCCUUUGUACACACCACCUGUCGCUCCUACCGAUUGAAUGGUCCGGUGAAGUGUUCGGAUCGCGGCGACGGGGGCGGUUCGCCGCCCCCGACGUCGCGAGCAGUCCAUUGAACCUUAUCAUUUAGAGGAAGGAGAAGUCGUAACAAGGUUUCCGUAGGUGAACCUGCGGAAGUAUCAUUG
rnacentral:ncRNA from 1 species